rnacentral:rRNA from 1 species
CUUUAUCAGAGAGUUUGAUCCUGGCUCAGGAUGAACGCUGGCGGCGUGCUUAACACAUGCAAGUCGAACGGGAAAUAUUUUAUUGAAGCUUCGGCAGAUUUAGCUUGUUUCUAGUGGCGGACGGGUGAGUAACGCGUGGGUAACCUGCCUUAUACUGGGGGAUAACAGCCAGAAAUGACUGCUAAUACCGCAUAAGCGCACAGAACCGCAUGGUUCGGUGUGAAAA